UUGGAGAUGCUCUAAUAAAAAAGCGCGUUAAAUGACAGAGACAUUUUUCUUCCGACAGAUCCGACUCAGCAGCUCUGUUUUCACCUUUCGCGAUUUCUGGAAAUCGCAGAUCGUAUUUGGAUAGACAGGACAUAAGUUAUCAUUAUAUGGAUAAAGCAGAACCUAACAAGGAGCUUACUGAGGAUUCGACUCGUGAAUCACUGAUUGCUCUCUCUUACAAAGUACCUGCCAACGAACAACCUGCUGCAACGUCUCCUAAAGAUACAAGUAUUGAGAACGGUUGCGGAAGCCCACACUUUGAUGGAAAAGAGAAGUAUAGGUCUGAGCUGAUUUCCAUCUCUUAUUCACCAUCACCAGAUAUGGAAAUCCGGCCGCUGUCACCCGCAGAGUUGGACGGUUAGCGUAUUACAAUGUAAAAUUCCCAACAAAAAUUGUAAACAACUUUUGUUCUGUUUUGUGAAAUUUUUAUAAAUUACUGUAUGAUUUGUGUUGCAAAACUUGUGACAUCAGCAAGUAUUUUGUUCAAUAUACAGUUGAACAUGUUGUGAAUA